rnacentral:rRNA from 1 species
GACGAACGCUGGCGGCGUGCCUAAUACAUGCAAGUCGAGCGGGCCUCCGGAGGUGCUUGCACCUCCGGAAGGCCAGCGGCGGACGGGUGAGUAACACGUGGGCAACCUGCCUUUGAGGCCGGGAUAACACCGGGAAACCGGUGCUAAUACCGGAUACGUCCUCUUUCGCGCCUGCGAGAGGGGAGAAAGACGGUCUUUAAGGCCGUCGCUCAAAGACGGGCCCGCGGCGCAUUAGCUGGUUGGUGGGGUAAGGGCCUACCAAGGCGACGAUGCGUCGCCGACCUGAGAGGGUGAUCGGCCACACUGGGACUGAGACACGGCCCAGACUCCUGCGGGAGGCAGCAGUAGGGAAUCAUCCGCAAUGGGCGAAAGCCUGACGGUGCAACGCCGCGUGAGUGAGGAAGGUUUUCGGAUCGUAAAGCUCUGUUGUGAGGGAAGAACAGCUUCCGGAGGAAAUGCCGGAGGUUUGCCGGUACCUCACCAGAAAGCCCCGGCUAACUACGUGCCAGCCGCCGCCGAACAC